rnacentral:rRNA from 1 species
GACGAACGCUGGCGGCGUGCCUAAUACAUGCAAGUUGAGCGCUGAAGGUUGGUACUUGUACCGACUGGAUGAGCAGCGAACGGGUGAGUAACGCGUGGGGAAUCUGCCUUUGAGCGGGGGACAACAUUUGGAAACGAAUGCUAAUACCGCAUAAAAACUUUAAACACAAGUUUUAAGUUUGAAAGAUGCAAUUGCAUCACUCAAAGAUGAUCCCGCGUUGUAUUAGCUAGUUGGUGAGGUAAAGGCUCACCAAGGCGAUGAUACAUAGUCGACCUUAGAGGGUGAUCGGCCAAAAUGGGACUGAGACACGGCCCAAACUCCUAAGGGAGGCAGCAGUAGGGAAUCUUCGGCAAUGGACGAAAGGCUGACCGAGAAACGCCGCGUGAGUGAAGAAGGGUUUCGGAUCGUAAAACUCGGUUGGUAGAGAAGAAAGUUGGCGAGAGUGGAAAGCUCAUCAAGUGACGGUAACUACCCAGAAAGGGACGGCUAACUACGUG